rnacentral:rRNA from 1 species
UACGUAGGUGGCAAGCGUUGUCCGGAAUUAUUGGGCGUAAAGCGCGCGCAGGCGGUCCUUUAAGUCUGAUGUGAAAGCCCACGGCUCAACCGUGGAGGGUCAUUGGAAACUGGGGGACUUGAGUGCAGAAGAGGAAAGCGGAAUUCCCGGUGUAGCGGUGGAAUGCGUAGAGAUCGGGAAGAACACCAGUGGCGAAGGCGUUCUGCUGGGCCGUUGCUGACACUGAGGCGCGACAGCGUGGGGAGCAAACAGG